AGCGGCGGAUGGGUGAGUAACACGUGGGGAACCUGCCCCUAAGUCUGGGAUACCAUUUGGAAACAGGUGCUAAUACCGGAUAAUAAAGCAGAUCGCAUGAUCAGCUUUUGAAAGGCGGCGUAAGCUGUCGCUAAGGGAUGGCCCCGCGGUGCAUUAGCUAGUUGGUAAGGUAACGGCUUACCAAGGCGACGAUGCAUAGCCGAGUUGAGAGACUGAUCGGCCACAUUGGGACUGAGACACGGCCCAAACUCCUACGGGAGGCAGCAGUAGGGAAUCUUCCACAAUGGACGCAGGUCUGAUGGAGCAACGCCGCGUGAGUGAAGAAGGUUUUCGGAUCGUAAAGCUCUGUUGUUGGUGAAGAAGGAUAGAGGUAGUAACUGGCCUUUAUUUGACGGUAAUCAACCAGAAAGUCACGGCUAACUACGUGCCAGCAGCCGCGGUAAUACGUAGGUGGCAAGCGUUGUCCGGAUUUAUUGGGCGUAAAGCGAGCGCAGGCGGAAAAAUAAGUCUAAUGUGAAAGCCCUCGGCUUAACCGAGGAACUGCAUCGGAAACUGUUUUUCUUGAGUGCAGAAGAGGAGAGUGGAACUCCAUGUGUAGCGGUGGAAUGCGUAGAUAUAUGGAAGAACACCAGUGGCGAAAGGCGGCUCUCUGGUCUGCAACUGACGCUGAGGCUCGAAAGCAUGGGUAGCGAACAGGAUUAGAUACCCUGGGUAGUCCAUGCCGUAAACGAUGAGUGCUAAGUGU
rnacentral:rRNA from 1 species